CGGCGUGUGGCGCAGCCCGGUUUAGCGUGCUACUUUGGGGUAGUAGAGGUCGCUGGUUCGAAUCCAGUCACGCCGAC
rnacentral:tRNA from 1 species